AUUGAACGCUGGCGGCAUGCCUUACACAUGCAAGUCGAACGGCAGCACGGGAGCAAUCCUGGUGGCGAGUGGCGAACGGGUGAGUAAUAUAUCGGAACGUGCCCAGUCGUGGGGGAUAACGCAGCGAAAGCUGUGCUAAUACCGCAUACGAUCUAAGGAUGAAAGCGGGGGAUCGCAAGACCUCGCGCGAUUGGAGCGGCCGAUAUCAGAUUAGCUAGUUGGUGGGGUAAAGGCCCACCAAGGCGACGAUCUGCAGCUGGUCUGAGAGGACGACCAGCCACACUGGAACUGAGACACGGUCCAGACUCCUACGGGAGGCAGCAGUGGGGAAUUUUGGACAAUGGGCGAAAGCCUGAUCCAGCAAUGCCGCGUGCAGGAUGAAGGCCUUCGGGUUGUAAACUGCUUUUGUACGGAACGAAACGGCCCUUUCUAAUACAGGGGGCUAAUGACGGUACCGUAAGAAUAAGCACCGGCUAACUACGUGCCAGCAGCCGCCUAA
rnacentral:rRNA from 1 species